rnacentral:rRNA from 1 species
CCUACGGGAGGCAGCAGUGGGGAAUUUUGCGCAAUGGGGGCAACCCUGACGCAGCAACGCCGCGUGAGUGAUGAAGGCCUUCGGGUCGUAAAGCUCUGUCAGAGGGGAAGAAAUGCAGGCGGUGAACAACCAUUCUGUUUGACGGUACCCUCAAAGGAAGCACCGGCUAACUCCGUGCCAGCAGCCGCGGUAAUACGGAGGGUGCGAGCGAUGUUCGGAAUUAUUGGGCGUAAAGCGCGUGUAGGCGGUUUGUUAAGUCUGAUGUGAAAGCCCCGGGCUCAACCGGGGAAGGGCAUUGGAUACUGGCAGACUUGAGUGCGGGAGAGGAGAGUGAAAUUCCCGGUGUAGGGGUGAAAUCCGUAGAUAUUGGGAGGAACACCGGGGGCGAGGGCGGCUCUCUGGACCGACACUGACGCUGAGACGCGAAAGCGUGGGGAGCAAACAGGAUUAGAUCCCCUGGUAGU